ACAACAACCACCCCUGGGAUGGUCUGAGAUGCAGCGCUGGCCAAAGGGGAGCCCAGGCCAGGGCUGGGGGCUGCGGAGCAUGCGGAGUGCAGUCUAGGCCGGACAGGGUUUGCUGCAGGGUUGCUGCCUGAUUCCGCUGGGUCAGCGCUUCAUUCUACAUCCACAGCAGAGAGCUUAUGAAUUUUGGUCUCCUCCUGGCCUUCCCCCGCGGCUGAGGAUCUUAUCGCACAGACAUCUGAGCCACAUGGGCCAGGGCGGGGGAAGGACAAAUGCCCAGUCUCCAACAGGUUCGGUGGCACCAGUUUUCUAAAAAGGACACCUCAGGAGUGUGUGCAAUCACUCUGUGGACAGGUUCUGGAUUGCCUCUGCAGCCCCUGCUGUCUGAGCCUUUGCAGC
rnacentral:lncRNA from 1 species